UGGCCUCAGAUCAGGGAGGAUCACCCGCCGAAUUUAAGCAUAUUAGUAAGCGGAGGAAAAGAAACUAACCAGGAUUCCCUCAGUAGCGGCGAGCGAACAGGGAUAAGCCCAGCGCCGAAUCCCGCGGUCGUCACGGUCGCGGGACAUGUGGUGUUAGGGAGGUUCCGCUUUCUCGCGGUCGCCGCUCCCGUCCAAGUUCGUCUUGAACGGGGCCGUUUUCCCAUAGAGGGUGCCAGGCCCGUAGCGACGGAGCGAGUCCGCGAGAGGGACUCUCCUCAGAGUCGGGUUGCUUGAGAGUGCAGCCCUAAGUGGGUGGUAAACUCCAUCUAAGGCUAAAUAUAACCGCGAGACCGAUAGCGAACAAGUACCGUGAGGGAAAGUUGAAAAGAACUUUGAAGAGAGAGUUCAAGAGUACGUGAAACCGUUCAGGGGUAAACCUGCGAAACUCGAAUGAACGAACGGAGAGAUUCAUCGUCACUCCGGGGCGUACGGCGGCGUGCCGCGAUGUGCGCGAGACUCGUGCUCGCGUUCACCGGUCGCCGCCGUUGACGCACCCGGACGGCGUGCACUUCUCUCUUAGUACACAUUAUGCAUCGCGACCCGUUCGUCUGUUCGGCCUAAGCGUUGUCCGGGAGCCGGGCGGCUGCGCGUUCACGCGCACAGCCGUCCGACCGUGACGAUCGCCGGCCGGCGGCGGACGGUACUUGUCAUGAAACGCGCACGCGUCUCCAUCCGGGGACGCGUCCGGCCCGACGCGAGCGAGAGUCGUCGUCGACAUCCUGCCCUUGUGCGGAUGCUGACGCGACGCCGCUGUCGUCGCAGCCGUGUAGUCUCGGACUGUGCGCGUAUCAGUCGGCGAUGUUACUGUUUCGGGCACUCGCAGGACCCGUCUUGAAACACGGACCAAGGAGUCUAGCAUGUGUGCGAGUCAUUGAGUUAUGAAUUCAAACAGACAAAACUGAAAGGCGCAACGAAAGUGAAGGCGCGCGCUUGUCGCGCGCUCAGGGAGGAUGGAGCGUCGGUCGUCAAAAAUCGAUCUCUCGCACUCCCGAGGCGUCUCGUUUCCAAUCAGCGAAUGCGGGCGCGCUCUGAGCACAGAUGCUGGGACCCGAAAGAUGGUGAACUAUGCCUGGUCAGGUCGAAGUCAGGGGAAACCCUGAUGGAGGACCGUAGCGAUUCUGACGUGCAAAUCGAUCGUCGGAACUGGGUAUAGGGGCGAAAGACUAAUCGAACCAUCUAGUAGCUGGUUCCGUCCGAAGUUUCCCUCAGGAUAGCUGGCGUCGACUCGUAACAGUCUCAUCCGGUAAAGCGAAUGAUUAGAGGCAUUGGGGCCGAAACGACCUCAACCUAUUCUCAAACUUUAAAUGGGUGAGAACUCCGGCUUACUCGAACGAUGAAGCCGGAGAUCUGAUGACGGUGCCAAGUGGGCCAAUUUUGGUAAGCAGAACUGGCGCUGUGGGAUGAACCAAACGUAGUGUUAAGGCGCCUAAAAAACGCUCAUGGGACACCAUGAAAGGCGUUGGUCGCUCAUGACAGCAGGACGGUGGCCAUGGAAGUCGGAAUCCGCUAAGGAGUGUGCAACGACUCACCUGCCGAAGCGACCAGCCCUGAAAAUGGAUGGCGCUGAAGCGUUUUGCCUAUACACUACCGUUACCGGCAAUCGGCGCGUGCGUGUCAAAGCGCACGCGUAUUAUGCCGUAACGAGUAGGACGUGCGCGGCGGAGUGCGCAGAAGGGUCUGGGCGUGAGCCCGCCUGGAGCCUCCGUCGGUGCAGAUCUUGGUGGUAGUAGCAAAUACUCCAGCGAGGCCCUGGAGGACUGACGUGGAGAAGGGUUUCGCGUGAACAGUAGUUGCUCGCGAGUCAGUCGAUCCUAAGCUCAAGGAGAGAUCUUAUGUCGAUGCGGCGUGUUUAUAUAUAUUUUGUGUAUAUGAUAAAUAACGCCCUUUGAGCGAAAGGGAAUCCGGUUCCUAUUCCGGAACCCGGCAGCGGAACCGUUUCAAUAAUCGUUCUCUCGUUUCUCAAGCGAGUGUUCGACGGGGUAACCCAAAGUGGCCUGAAGACGCCGCCGAGUGGUCCGGGAAGAGUUUUCUUUUCUGCCUGAGCGUUCGAGUUCCAUGGAAUCCUAUAGAAGGGAGAUAUGGUUCGGAACGCGAAGAGCACCGCAUUUGCGGCGGUGUCCGGAUACUCUCUGCGGACCUUGAAAAUUCAGGUGAGGGAUGUACGUGGAGAUGUCGCGCCGGCUCGUACCCAUAUCCGCAGCAGGUCUCCAAGGUGAAGAGCCUCUAGUCGAUAGAAUAAUGUAGGUAAGGGAAGUCGGCAAAUUGGAUCCGUAACUUCGGAAUAAGGAUUGGCUCUGAGGACCGGGGCGUGUCGGGUUUGGACGGGAAGCGGAUGCGGCCGGUGCCGGGCCUGGUCGAUGCUCGCGCGUGUCUCCAUCGCAAGGUGGUCUCGCGCGUCGUGCUGAAUCCGGACCCGCGUUCCGGCCUUUCGCGGAUCUUC